rnacentral:rRNA from 1 species
AUUAGAUAAAAAGCCAAUGCCCUUCGGGGCUUUCUGGUGAUUCAUAAUAACUAAACGAAUCGCAUGGCCUUGCGCCGGCGAUGGUUAAUUCAAAUUUCUGCCCUAUCAACUUUCGAUUGUAGGAUAGAAGCCUACAAUGGUUUCAACGGGUAACGGAGAAUUAGGGUUCGGUUCCGGAGAGGGAGCCUGAGAAACGGCUACCACAUCCAAGGAAGGCAGCAGGCGCGCAAAUUACCCAAUCCCGACACGGGGAGGUAGUGACAAUAAAUACUGACACAGGGCUCUUUUGGGUCUUGUAAUUGGAAUGAGUACAAUUUAAAUCCCUUAACGAGGAACAAUUGGAGGGCAAGUCUGGUGCCAGCAGCCGCGGUAAUUCCAGCUCCAAUAGCGUAUAUUAAAGUUGUUGCAGUUAAAAAGCUCGUAGUUGAACCUUGGGUCUGGCUGGCCGGUCCGCCUCACCGCGUGCACUGGUCCGGCCGGACCUUUCCUCUUGGGGAUCCGCAUGCCCUUUGCUGGG